UUAAGAUCCGUUCACUUUUCGAAAUAGACUUAACGGGGAAGUUACCCGGUAAACCAAAGCUAGGUAUGUUACCGGGGGAAGUAUGGUUGCAAAAUCGAAACUUAAAGGAAUUGACGGAAGGGCACCACCAGGAGUGGAGCCUGCGGCUUAAUUUGACUCAACACGGGAAAACUCACCAGGACCAGACAUCCGAAGGAUUGACAGAGUGAUUUUUUCUGAUGAUUUCAUGGGUGGUGGUGCAUGGCCGUUUUUAGUUAGUGGAGUGAUCUGUCUGGUUGAUUCCGUUAACGAACGAGAUUUUAUCCAUUUUAUUAGAAGCAGAAUUGCAAUAAUUCAGUCUUCUUCUUAGAGGAACUAUGCGGAAUUUUUACCGUAAGGAAGUUGGUCCAUAACAGGUCUGUGAUGCCCUUAGAUGUUCUGGGCUGCACGCGUGCUACACUGAUUUUGAAGAAUAGAUGUUCAUCUUCCUGUUCGAUGUGGAUUAGGUAAUCAAGUAAUGAAAUAUCAUGCUUGGAAUCGGCAAUUGUAAUUAUUAUUCGUGAACGAGGAAUUCCUAGUAAGCACUGGUCAUCAGCUAAUGCUGAUUAUGUCCCUGCCCUUUGUACACACCGCCCGUCGCUACUACUGAUUGGGUGUUCAAGUGAGAAUCUUGGACUUUUGCUUCUUGAAUAUUUUUAGGUUGCACAGAGAAAGAGUUUCAAGCUGGAGUGUCUAGAGGAAGUAAAAGUCGUAACAAGGUAUCCGUA
rnacentral:rRNA from 1 species